rnacentral:rRNA from 1 species
CUAACACAUGCAAGUCGAGCGGAAACGAGUUAACUGAACCUUCGGGGAACGUUAACGGCGUCGAGCGGCGGACGGGUGAGUAAUGCCUGGGAAAUUGCCCUGAUGUGGGGGAUAACCAUUGGAAACGAUGGCUAAUACCGCAUAAUAGCUUCGGCUCAAAGAGGGGGACCUUCGGGCCUCUCGCGUCAGGAUAUGCCCAGGUGGGAUUAGCUAGUUGGUGAGGUAAUGGCUCACCAAGGCGACGAUCCCUAGCUGGUCUGAGAGGAUGAUCAGCCACACUGGAACUGAGACACGGUCCAGACUCCUACGGGAGGCAGCAGUGGGGAAUAUUGCACAAUGGGCGCAAGCCUGAUGCAGCCAUGCCGCGUGUAUGAAGAAGGCCUUCGGGUUGUAAAGUACUUUCAGCAGUGAGGAAGGCAGGUACGUUAAUAGCGUGCUUGUUUGACGUUAGCUGCAGAAGAAGCACCGGCUAACUCCGUGCCAGCAGCCGCGGUAAUACGGAGGGUGCGAGCGUUAAUCGGAAUUACUGGGCGUAAAGCGCAUGCAGGUGGUUUGUUAAGUCAGAUGUGAAAGCCC